CCUACGGGCGGCUGCAGUGAGGAAUAUUGGUCAAUGGGCGGAAGCCUGAACCAGCCAAGUCGCGUGAGGGAUUAAGGCCCUGCGGGUCGUAAACCUCUUUUGCCGGGGAGCAGUGGUCCUGACGCGUCCGGACCGGGAGAGUACCCGGAGAAAAAGCAUCGGCUAACUCCGUGCCAGCAGCCGCGGUAGUACGGAGGAUGCGAGCGUUAUCAGGAUUUAUUGGGUGUGAAGGGUGCGUAGGCGGGCAUUUAAGCCGGCGGUGAAAUGUCGGGGCUCAACCCCGGCCUGCCGUUGGAACUGGGUGCCUUGAGUGGGCGAGAAGUGUGCGGAACGCGUGGUGUAGCGGUGAAAUGCAUAGAUAUCACGCAGAACCCCGAUGGCGAAGGCAGCAUACCGGCGCCCUACUGACGCUGAGGCACGAAAGUGCGGGUAUCGAACAGGAUUAGAUACCCUUGUAGUC
rnacentral:rRNA from 1 species